rnacentral:misc_RNA from 1 species
AAAGUCGUAACAAGGUUUCCGUAGGUGAACCUGCGGAAGGAUCAUUAUCGUAGGGCUUCGGCCCUGUCGAGAUAGAACCCUUGCCUUUUUUGAGUACCGUCCGUUUCCUCGGCAGGCUCGCCUGCCAAUGGGGACCCCAAACCAAACUCUUUGUACCUGUAAUAGUCUGAAAAACAAACAAAAAUUAAAACUUUCAACAACGGAUCUCUUGGUUCUG